rnacentral:misc_RNA from 1 species
GUGAAUCAUCAAAUUUUUGAACGCAAAUUGCACUUUUUGGUAUUCCGGAAAGUAUGCCUGUUUGAGGGUCAGUUAAUUAAUAAUCGGUGUUGUUGUUAUUAGUAGUGGUGUGUGUUGCAUUGGAAUUGAGUCGUUUUUUACCUGUGUUUUAAGUGAUUUAAAAUUAUGUUCGAUUUUUGGAUGUAUUUAAUUUAUUACUUACGUUCGUAAUAACGCAUAUUUGGUGCGGUUAU